GACGAACGCUGGCGGCGUGCUUAGCACAUGCAAGUCGAGCGGAAAGGCUCCUUCGGGGGUACUCGAGCGGCGAACGGGUGAGUAACACGUGAGUAAUCUGCCCUUGGCUUUGGGAUAACUACCGGAAACGGUGGCUAAUACCGGAUACGACCACUCCUUGCAGGAGGUGGUGGUGGAAAGUUUUUUCGGCCAGGGAUGUGCUCGCGGCCUAUCAGCUUGUUGGUGGGGUAAUGGCCUACCAAGGCUUCGACGGGUAGCCGGCCUGAGAGGUGACCGGCCACACUGGGACUGAGACACGGCCCAGACUCCUACGGGAGGCAGCAGUGGGGAAUAUUGGACAAUGGGCGGAAGCCUGAUCCAGCAACGCCGCGUGAGGGAUGACGG
rnacentral:rRNA from 1 species